UACGAAGGGGGCUAGCGUUGCUCGGAAUCACUGGGCGUAAAGCGCACGUAGGCGGUUUCUUAAGUCAGGGGUGAAAUCCUGGAGCUCAACUCCAGAACUGCCUUUGAUACUGAGAGCUUGAGUCCGGGAGAGGUGAGUGGAACUGCGAGUGUAGAGGUGAAAUUCGUAGAUAUUCGCAAGAACACCAGUGGCGAAGGCGGCUCACUGGCCCGGUACUGACGCUGAGGUGCGAAAGCGUGGGGAGCAAACAGG
rnacentral:rRNA from 1 species